rnacentral:rRNA from 1 species
UACGGAGGAUUCAAGCGUUAUCCGGAUUUAUUGGGUUUAAAGGGUGCGUAGGCGGAUUUUUAAGUCAGCGGUAAAAUGUCCGGGCUCAACCCCGGCCGGCCGUUGAAACUGGCGUGCUCGAGUUGGAGAGAAGUAUGCGGAAUUCGUGGUGUAGCGGUGAAAUGCAUAGAUAUCACGAAGAACCCCGAUUGCGAAGGCAGCAUACCGGCUCCACACUGACGCUGAGGCACGAAAGCGUGGGUAUCGAACAGG